rnacentral:sRNA from 1 species
CCCUAAUACGCCGUUGACAAGGCAGUUCUCGACAUUGCGGCGCAUGCCUGGAACUAUAUAACUGACUUUGACUGGGGACUCAAAGAUGCUUGGAUUCAAAAAUGAUCUGCCGUGAACAUUACCAGCGCUGAAAUCUGGAAGCAUUCAUUUUCUUUCUCUUUGAUUUCUCAAUAUUUGCUCCGCAGAAGUUGAGCUUUGUUCUUUAGCAGCAUUCAAACCAAUUCCCGCUCCCUGAACAUCUAAGCAGCUGUGAUGGAAGGGUGAGCUGUAUUGCACAUAUCUCAGUAGUAUUUUUCUGCUAACACACCAACCAAUUCCCC